AACUUGCCUUACAGACUGGGACAACAUUUGGAAACGAAUGCUAAUACCGGAUAUUAUGACUGAGUCGCAUGAUUUGGUUAUGAAAGCUAUAUGCGCUGUGAGAGACUUUGCGUCCCAUUAGUUAGUUGGUGAGGUAACGGCUCACCAAGACGAUGAUGGGUAGCCGGCCUGAGAGGGUGAACGGCCACAAGGGGACUGAGACACGGCCCUUACUCCUACGGGAGGCAGCAGUGGGGAAUAUUGGACAAUGGACCAAAAGUCUGAUCCAGCAAUUCUGUGUGCACGAUGAAGUUUUUCGGAAUGUAAAGUGCUUUCAGUUGGGAAGAAGUCAGUGACGGUACCAACAGAAGAAGCGACGGCUAAAUACGUGUCAGCAGCCGCGGUAAUACGUAUGUCGCAAGCGUUAUCCGGAUUUAUUGGGCGUAAAGCGCGUCUAGGCGGUUUAGUAAGUCUGAUGUGAAAAUGCGGGGCUCAACCCCGUAUUGCGUUGGAAACUGCUAAACUAGAGUACUGGAGAGGUAGGCGGAACUACAAGUGUAGAGGUGAAAUUCGUAGAUAUUUGUAGGAAUGCCGAUGGGGAAGCCAGCCUACUGGACAGAUACUGACGCUAAAGCGCGAAAGCGUGGGUAGCAAACAGGAUUAGAUACCCUGGUAGUCCACGCCGUAAACGAUGAUUACUAGGUGUUGGGGGUCGAACCUCAGCGCCCAAGCUAACGCGAUAAGUAAUCCGCCUGGGGAGUACGUACGCAAGUAUG
rnacentral:rRNA from 1 species